rnacentral:ncRNA from 2 species
GUAGUUCGCUAGGGGUUUCGCCCAUCCAACACGGGCGAAUGAGAGAGUCCCUCAGCACCUGAUCCGGUUCACACCGGCGUAGGGAAGCGAAUCGGUCGGUGC